rnacentral:rRNA from 1 species
AUGCAGUCGAGCGGUAGCACAGGGAGCUUGCUCCUGGGUGACGAGCGGCGGACGGGUGACUAAUGUCUGGGAAACUGCCUGAUGGAGGGGGAUAACUACUGGAAACGGUAGCUAAUACCGCAUAACGUCUUCUGACCAAAGAGGGGGACCUUCCGGCCUCUUGCCAUCAGAUGUGCCCAGAUGGGAUUAGCUAGUAGGUGAGGUAAUGGCUCACCUAGGCGACGAUCCCUAGCUGGUCUGAGAGGAUGACCAGCCACACUGGAACUGAGACACGGUCCAGACUCCUACGGGAGGCAGCAGUGGGGAAUAUUGCACAAUGGGCGCAAGCCUGAUGCAUCCAUGCCGCGUGUAUGAAGAAGGCCUUCGGGUUGUAAAGUACUUUCAUCGAGGAGGAAGGCAUUGUGGUUAAUAACCACAGUGAUUGACGUUACUCGCAAAAGAAGCACCGGCUAACUCCGUGCCAGCAGCCGCGGUAAUACGGAGGGUGCAAGCGUUAAUCGGAAUUACUGGGCGUAAAGCGCACGCAGGCGGUCUGUCAAGUCGGAUGUGAAAUCCCCGGGCUCAACCUGGGAACUGCAUUCCAAACUGGCAAGCUAGAGUCUUGUAUAGGGGGGUAGAAUUCCAGGUGUACCGCUGAAAUGUCUACAUAUCUGGAGGAAUACACGUGGCGGAUGCGGCCCCCUG